UUCCUUAAUGGAGGAGGGCAUAAUUGCAUAAAACGUUUGUAUCUUGAACAGUGUUGAUAUUGGAUGCUCUAAGACAGCUCUUACACAGGGAUGUCUCAUCUCUGCUUGGCAUUCACUAUUGCCGCUUUCUGAGGUGUAUGCAUUUAGUUUCAGCUUUGCUGCUGCUUUUAGCUGUACAGUUGGGCUUCUCCCAGCUUGGUGCUUAAAGAUGUGGAAGAAACUACCUAUUGAUGCGCUCGAGAUCUACAUGAACUGUUGAAAAACAUGCCAGUAUAUCCCUGUUGCAGAAGUACAGCAAUCCACAGAUCUGCAUAGACACAAUGUGUGAAGAGGGAUCUACUUGGACAGUUCUUCUCUAGAAAUUGCCCAAAGACAAACCUCCACCAGUGAUGAGCAUUCGGGAACCUCAUGUCAACCUUAACCCCCAUUUUUUUUCACCAGUUUUUCUGGAAGCUGAACAGAAAAGUAGACCCAAAAUCUCUUUAACAAUGCUGUAAUACCCAUAAGCUGAUGAUUUCAGAUUUGUUAACUGCCAAGGAACA